rnacentral:misc_RNA from 1 species
CCGAGUUAUACAACUCAUCAACCCUGUGAACAUACCUAUAACGUUGCCUUCGGCGGGAACAGACGGCCCUGUAACACGGGCCGCCCCCGCCAGAGGACCCCCUAACUCUGUUUUAUAAUGUUUCUUCUGAGUAGACAAGCAAAUAAAUUA